GUGCGUUCAGUAAGUAUAACGUUUCAAGAUGGCGGAGCGAAUUGCAUGGUUAUUGUUUCUACUCGAUGGAUUCGCAGAUACUUCGGAAAUAGAUCAGAUUGGGAUCAAUAACUUUAUUGCAUACGAUCAUUUACAUGUGUGUGUUGCCAGUAAUGGUUGAAGAUAUGCCAAACAAAUUGUGCCUUUCUAUACAGACAGAUUUCAGGUCUCAAUUUCAACUUCAAAGGUCAACAUAUCACUGAUAUCAGGAAUUCUGUGAAACUGUGGCACCAUGUAUGGUACGUGAGCGCACAAUGUCUGUUGGAAAAAGGAUAUUGGAAUAAGCAAAGGGACUCAACAUUACACAGUCAUUUCAACAUGUAGAGUCUUGUCAGCAAAGAUGGAGCAGUACAUCAGAUUUCCAGAAUCUCGUCAUGAGCUGAAGAUCAUUGUCUAUGGAUUUCAUGAAUGAUGUAAAAUGAUUUGACUGUUGAUGGAACCCACAGUGCAUGUCCUGCUUCAACAUCUGAGCAUAGGUCCUUGUUUAUCAGCAGUUUAGUUCUUCAAGCAGUCUGUGACAGUAACUUGAAAUGUUUGGACAUAUGUCCUGGAUGGCCAAGUUCUGUUCAUGAUGCCCAUUUAAAUAGAAACGGCCCGGUGGCGCAUUAAAUGGACAAUUUUUCGAAUGUUCUCGUGGAUUCAGCUUACCGCCUGACAAGAAAUCUUGCUUUUUGUUCCGUAUCGAGGCCAUGGACAUUUGUAUCAUUUGCAAAAGAUACUGCGAUAUUUGUGUCUUUGUUCAUGCUUUAUAGUUGAUUAACAAUUGGAAGCCAUAACCUGUUUAAUAGGAUGGUGUUAGUGGGACAAUGAAUUUUGUAAAGAUUUAAAGAAUGGAAAAGAUAAUUAAUAGUCAAAAGAGUUCUGCUAUUGUUAAGCAUGCUUUAUUGAUUUGUAAUGUUAUAAAGAUAGCAUUAUUAACAGAAUAAAAUGUCCAUAAUUUGAA